rnacentral:rRNA from 1 species
UCAGAACGAACGCUGGCGGCAGGCUUAACACAUGCAAGUCGAACGCCCCGCAAGGGGAGUGGCAGACGGGUGAGUAACGCGUGGGAAUCUACCCAUCUCUACGGAAUAACUCAGGGAAACUUGUGCUAAUACCGUAUACGCCCUUCGGGGGAAAGAUUUAUCGGAGAUGGAUGAGCCCGCGUUGGAUUAGCUAGUUGGUGGGGUAAAGGCCUACCAAGGCGACGAUCCAUAGCUGGUCUGAGAGGAUGAUCAGCCACAUUGGGACUGAGACACGGCCCAAACUCCUACGGGAGGCAGCAGUGGGGAAUAUUGGACAAUGGGCGCAAGCCUGAUCCAGCCAUGCCGCGUGAGUGAUGAAGGCCCUAGGGUUGUAAAGCUCUUUCACCGAUGAAGAUAAUGACUGUAGUCGGAGAAGAAGCCCCGGCUAACUUCGUGCCAGCAGCCGCGGUAAUACGAAGGGGGCUAGCGUUGUUCGGAAUUACUGGGCGUAAAGCGCACGUAGGCGGGUAUUUAAGUCAGGGGUGAAAUCCCGGAGCUCAACUCCGGAACUGCCUUUGAUACUGGGUACCUAGAGUAUGGAAGAGGUAAGUGGAAUUCCGAGUGUAGAGGUGAAAUUCGUAGAUAUUCGGAGGAACACCAGUGGCGAAGGCGGCUUACUGGUCC